rnacentral:rRNA from 1 species
UACAGGGGGGGCAAGCGUUGUUCGGAAUUACUGGGCGUAAAGGGCGCGUAGGCGGCCAACUAAGUCACACGUGAAAUCCCCAGGCUUAACCUGGGAACUGCGUGUGAUACUGGAUGGCUUGAAUUCGGGAGAGGGAUGCAGAAUUCCAGGUGUAGCGGUGAAAUGCGUAGAUAUCUGGAGGAACACCGGUGGCGAAGGCGGCAUCCUGGACCGGCAUUGACGCUGAGGCGCGAAAGCCAGGGGAGCAAACGGG